ACCCGACACAGGUAGUCGAGGAGAGAAUCCUAAGAUGAUCGGGAGAACUCUCGUUAAGGAACUCGCCAAAAUGACCCCGUAACUUCGGGAGAAGGGGUGCUCUGGUAGGGUUUAUCGCCCGAGAGAGCCGCAGUGAAUAGAUCCAAGCGACUGUUUACCAAAAACACAGGUCUCUGCGAAGCCGCAAGCCGAAGUAUAGGGGCUGACACCUGCCCGGUUCUGGAAGGUUAAGAGGAGGGGGGUCCUUUAGGAGAAGCUCUGAAUUGAAGCCCCAGUAAACGGCGGCCGUAACUAUUACGGUCCUAAG
rnacentral:rRNA from 1 species